GUGCCUCUGCAGCUGGGACUGGGGGUGCUCGGCUGUCCUGGACUGUGGGCUCAGCAGGGAGGGCACCUGGAGAGUGACAUCCACAUCCCCCGGCACUGGAAACCCCUCCUGCUCCUGCUCACCAAUGGGACAUGCAGAGCAUCAUCUCAAAAGAUGGAAACCUGGUGGGAACCAGAGAUGAGGAGCUGGUCCUGAGGCAGGGGACAAGGACAGGAGGGUUUUGGGGUAACUUGUCCCCAGUGUGAGCCGCAGCUGCUGCCCCAACGUCAGGGAAGCGAGCGAUGAUCAAAGGAACUUUUCCAUCCCUGGUCUCUGCCUGGACUCCCCUCUUGCUGUAAAAGCUCUCUCAGAAGUUUAAAAAUAAAAUUCUCUUCCGGA